rnacentral:rRNA from 1 species
AGACCGAUAGCGAACAAGUAGAGUGAUCGAAAGAUGAAAAGCACUUUGAAAAGAGAGUUAAAAAGCACGUGAAAUUGUUGAAAGGGAAGCGCUUGCGACCAGACUCGCUCGCGGGGUUCAGCCGGCAUUCGUGCCGGUGUACUUCCCCGCGGGCGGGCCAGCGUCGGUUUGGGCGGUCGGUCAAAGGCCCUCGGAAGGUAACGCCCCUAGGGGCGUCUUAUAGCCGAGGGUGCAAUGCGACCUGCCUAGACCGAGGAACGCGCUUUCGGCUCGGACGCUGGCAUAAUGGUCGUAAACGACCCGUCUUGAAACACGGACCAAG